GACGAACGCUGGCGGCGUGCUUAACACAUGCAAGUCGAACGGUGACGAGGAGCUUGCUCCUCCGAUCAGUGGCGAACGGGUGAGUAACACGUGAGUAACCUGCCCAGACUCUGGAAUAACAGUUGGAAACAGCUGCUAAUACCGGAUACGAGACGGAGAGGCAUCUCUACCGUCUGGAAAGUUUUUCGGUCUGGGAUGGACUCGCGGCUAUCAGCUUGUUGGUGAGGUAAUGGCUCACCAAGGCGACGACGGGUAGCCGGCCUGAGAGGCGACCGGCCACACUGGGACUGAGACACGGCCCAGACUCCUACGGGAGGCAGCAGUGGGGAAUAUUGCACAAUGGGCGAAAGCCUGAUGCAGCAACGCCGCGUGAGGGAUGACGG
rnacentral:rRNA from 1 species